rnacentral:rRNA from 1 species
GUCUGUGUGAAAGGUAUACAAAGUUAGGCCUGCCCACUGAUUUGAUUUAAGGGCUGCGGUAAUUUGACCGUGCAAAGGUAGCAUAAUAAUUAGUCUUUUAAUUGGGGGCUUGUAUGAAUGGUCGGACAGAAGAGUAGCUGUCUUAUUAGUAAAAGUUGAAUUUGAUUUUUAUGUGAAAAAGCAUAAAUGGUUCAGGGGGACGAUAAGACCCUAUAAAACUUGACUUUUAUAAAAUGGUUCUUGAAGUUUCUUUAAAAAGAAUAGUUUUAAGUAAAGUUGUGUUGGGGUGACAGGAAUAAAAUUUUGUGUAACUGUUCUAAAAAUAUAAUAGUUUAAUUAGAUAUUGAUCCUAUAGUAUGGAUAUAAGAUUAAGUUACUUUAGGGAUAACAGCGUAAUUUUUUUUGAGAGUUCAUAUCGACAAUAUGAGUUGCGACCUCGAUGUUGAAUUAAAACUAACUUCCAGGGGUAGUAGUUUGGGGAGGUAGGUCUGUUCGACCUUUAAAGUUUUACAUGAUUUGAGUUCAAACCGGUGCGAG